CACGCCCUAAACGAUGAUCUCUAGCUUUUCGGAGUAUCGACCCUCUGAGAAGCGCAGCUAACGCGUUAAGAGAUCCGCCUGGGAAGUACGAUCGCAAGAUUAAAACUCAAAGGAAUAGACGGGGACUUGCACAAGCAGUGGAUUAUGUGGUUUAAUUCGACGAUAAACGAAGAACCUUACCAAGCCUAGAAAUCAAGUUGAAGGGGCGCCGGAAACGGGUCUCGUCCGCAAGGACAAUUUGACAGGUGU
rnacentral:rRNA from 1 species